rnacentral:lncRNA from 1 species
GAACAGAUCACCUGUUGGACGAAGAUAAUAUUUCGAGUUCUAAAAAAUGCACAAUUGAAGUUGAUGUGGAAACCUCACAAGGAACUGAAACAGGUAGGAGCACUGAAGUACAAAGGUCUGAAGGUGUAUUUGUUGUGGAUCCUGAUUUAAUUCCUGAAGGCCAUAGUGUAGCAUCAGGUGAACAAUCAGAAAAUCCUAAGGAGAUGGAAACACAAAUUUCCAGUUCAGAUUCUCAAUUAAAACCUGAAGAUCAUGGUGGAGCAUCUGACAAAAAAUCAGAAGAUUAUAAGGAGGCAGCAGGUUUGCCUGUAGCUUCUACGGUCUCAAGCCAAAGUUCUGCUACUGUUGAAGACAAAAUUACCAAUGAUGCAGUCACUUCUGAAAUAGGUAAGAGCACUGAAGUACAAAGGUCUGAAGAUGUAUUUGUCGUGGAUCCUGAUUUAAGUCCUGACGGCCACAGUGUAGCAUCAGGUGAACAAUCAGAAAAUCCUGAGGAGAUGGAAACACAAAGUUCCAGUUCAGUUUCUCAAUUAAAACCUGAAGAUCAUGGUGGAGCAUAUGACAAAAAAUUAGAAGAUUAUAAGGAGGCGGCGGCUUUACCUGUAGCUUCCACAAUAUCAAGCCAAAGUUCUGCUACUGUUGAAGACAAAAUUACCAAUGAUGCAGUCAUUUCUCAGCCCUUGCUAGAUGGAGACAAUGGCAAGCUCACAAAAGAAAGUGUACACGUUUCUGCGGUUGAUGACUCCGUUGUUUCAAGCAGCCGAACUGAGAGUUUGGAUGGGAACUGGGGAUCAGUAUCAG